rnacentral:rRNA from 1 species
AUUGAACGCUGGCGGAAUGCUUUACACAUGCAAGUCGAACGGCAGCACGGACUUCGGUCUGGUGGCGAGUGGCGAACGGGUGAGUAAUACAUCGGAACGUGCCCAGUCGUGGGGGAAAACGUAGCGAAAGCUACGCUAAUACCGCAUACGAUCUAAGGAUGAAAGCGGGGGAUCGCAAGACCUCGCGCGAUUGGAGCGGCCGAUGGCAGAUUAGGUAGUUGGUAGGGUAAAGGCCUACCAAGCCGACGAUCUGUAGCUGGUCUGAGAGGAUGAUCAGCCACAGUGGGACUGAGACACGGCCAAGACUCCUACGGGAGGCAGCAGUGGGGAAUUUUGGACAAUGGGCGCAAGCCUGAUCCAGCCAUUCCGCGUGCAGGAUGAAGGGCUUCGGGUUGUAAACUGCUUUUGUACAGAACGAAAAGGCUCUGGUUAAUACCCGGGGCUCAUGACGGUACUGUAAGAAUAAGCACCGGCUAACUACGUGCCAGCCGCCGCAGUAA